rnacentral:rRNA from 1 species
AGGUCAAGCAAAUCCCAUAAAGUUGUUCUCAGUUCGGAUUGUAGUCUGCAACUCGACUAUAUGAAGCUGGAAUCGCUAGUAAUCGUAGAUCAGCAUGCUACGGUGAAUACGUUCCCGGGUCUUGUACACACCGCCCGUCACACCACGAGAGUUUGUAACACCCGAAGCCGGUGGAGUAACCAUUUGGAGCUAGCCGUCGAAGGUGGGACAAAUGAUUGGGGUGAAGUCGUAACAAGGUAGCCGUAUCGGAAGGUGCGGCUGGAUCACCUCCUUUCUAAGGA